CAGCAGCACGGGAAUACGUAGGGUGCGAGCGUUAAUCGGAAUUACUGGGCGUAAAGCGUGCGCAGGCGGUUCGUUAAGACAGAUGUGAAACCCCCGGGCUUAACCUGGGAACUGCAUUUGUGACUGGCGAGCUAGAGUAUGGCAGAGGGGGGUAGAAUUCCACGUGUAGCAGUGAAAUGCGUAGAGAUGUGGAGGAAUACCGAUGGCGAAGGCAGCCCCCUGGGCCAAUACUGACGCUCAUGCACGAAAGCGUGGGGAGCAAACAGGAUUAGAUACCCCUGUAGUCCCUGUCUCUUAUACC
rnacentral:rRNA from 1 species